rnacentral:lncRNA from 1 species
GGGGCACCUGGGAGGGCCGUAACGCCUACGAGCCCUCCCAUGAGUAAGCGCGGAGCCAAGGGCUGCGGGCAGGGAUUGCACAGCAGAGCUGCCCAUCAAGCUCGGUAAAAAAACCAAGGGUAAACAUUCCUGGUGCUUCGUGUGACGUUAUUUCCCAACCACCUCAUCGUGCUGCUCACCCUCCUCCACACCACUCUAAUCUGUCCUGAUCAAUAUUUAAAAGAUGACACAGAGAGAGGAGACUCCUAGAUCCUAGUGUUGACUCUGCCACAAAGGAGGCCACCAUGCUCAGGGACUGCUGAUGAUACCGUUUGCUGCUCCCUGACUCAGCAGGAUUUACGCCUCUCCAGUGGGCUGCAAAAACGGUCGAGAGUCCAGCACUUUUCAAAGUUUGCUGCGCCUAACAGUCACCUGGGGGAUUUGGAUAAAUGUGGAUCCUGAUUCAGUAGGUCUUGGGUGGGAUCUAGGCUUCUGCAUUACAACAAGCUCCCAGGUGAUAGUCUGGGAUGCCACUUUGAGAAAUAGUGGUCUACUCUAAAUUCCCCAGACAAUUGAGCCCUCCGUCUUCCUUGGGAAAUCUUAAGCGGUUAUCUGUGUGGCUGACACUUUCUCAUCAUGCAGGCAUCAGCUCUAGUGUGCCUCUUCAUAGAAACGUCCUUGGCCAGCCUAUCUAAAAUGACCCACUCUCCCCUAGUCCCUCUCAUUCAUAUUACUCAGAUUUUUUCAUAGCAUUUGUCUCAGUCUGAAAGUAUCUUAUCUGUGUGUGUUUAUUGCCUGUCUCUCCCACUAUAGCGUGCGCUCCCUGAAGUCUGUUUUGGUUACCCCUCUCUCUCCUGCGCCUGUUAUACAGUGCCUGUAGGAAGAGUAGGAACUCAAAA